rnacentral:rRNA from 1 species
AUGGGGCAAGCUCUAUGUCUCGCAUUAAGCGACACGGUAGCAGCUCUCACUGCAGCUUUCCCUCCCCAAUCGCGUCGUAUUGGGCUGGCCCAUUCACGCCCGCAUACCGGCAACGCCGUCGACGCGCUCAACGCAGCGGGAGUCAGCGAGGUCCUCGGGAUCGAUCUCGUCGACCGAUCACCACCGCCUCCCAUUCUCCCAUUCACCGACGGCGCCUUCGAUCUCAUCUUCUCCGACGACCCUGCGGGAUUCGCCGGCUCCCUCUUCCCGUCUCGCGUCGCCGCCGAGACUGACCGCGCUGUCCGCCACGGUGGCGCCAUCGCGCUCGUCGUCGAACGGGAGCUGGACCCCGCUGCCGUCGCCGCGCUCUUCAAGAGGUCAUGCGUCGUGGAUGCCAGGGCUGUCACUUUGGAUGGCUCCCACAGGUCAGGUUGCUAA